UACGUAGGGGGCGAGCGUUGUCCGGAUUUAUUGGGCGUAAAGAGCGUGUAGGCGGUUCGGUAAGUCUGUCGUGAAAUCCUGAGGCUCAACCUCGGGCGUGCGAUGGAUACUGCCGGGCUAGAGGGUGGUAGAGGCGAGUGGAAUUCCCGGUGUAGCGGUGAAAUGCGCAGAUAUCGGGAAGAACACCCGUGGCGAAGGCGGUUCUCUGGGACGGUACUGACGCUGAGACGCGAAAGCGUGGGGAGCGAACAGG
rnacentral:rRNA from 1 species